rnacentral:rRNA from 1 species
CUAUAAGUCAGAUGUGAAAUCCCCGGGCUUAACCUGGGAACUGCAUCUGAAACUGUAGAGCUAGAGUAUGUGAGAGGAAGGUAGAAUUCCAGGUGUAGCGGUGAAAUGCGUAGAGAUCUGGAGGAAUACCGAUGGCGAAGGCAGCCUUCUGGCAUAAUACUGACACUGAGGCUCGAAAGCGUGGGUAGCAAACAGGAUUAGAUACCCUGGUAGUCCACGCCGUAAACGAUGUCUACUAGUCGUUGGGUCCCUUGAGGACUUAGUGACGCAGCUAACGCAAUAAGUAGACCGCCUGGGGAGUACGGCCGCAAGGUUAAAACUCAAAUGAAUUGACGGGGGCCCGCACAAGCGGUGGAGCAUGUGGUUUAAUUCGAUGCAACGCGAAGAACCUUACCUGGUCUUGACAUAUCUAGAAUCCUGCAGAGAUGCGGGAGUGCCUUCGGGAAUUAGAAUACAGGUGCUGCAUGGCUGUCGUCAGCUCGUGUCGUGAGAUGUUGGGUUAAGUCCCGCAACGAGCGCAACCCUUGUCCUUAGUUACCAGCGGGUUAAGCCGGGAACUCUAAGGAUACUGCCAGUGACAAACUGGAGGAAGGCGGGGACGACGUCAAGUCAUCAUGGCCCUUACGACCAGGGCUACACACGUGCUACAAUGGUAGGUACAGAGGGCAGCUACACAGCGAUGUGAUGCGAAUCUCAAAAAGCCUAUCGUAGUCCAGAUUGGAGUCUGCAACUCGACUCCAUGAAGUAGGAAUCGCUAGUAAUCGCGGAUCAGAAUGCCGCGGUGAAUACGUUCCCGGGCCUUGUACACACCCCCCGUCACGCCACGGGAGUCCUCUAGAGUUUGAUCGAGCUCAGUAAGUCGUAACAGCGUAACCACUAGAGUGUGC